rnacentral:rRNA from 1 species
UACGUAGGUUGUUUAUUAAGUUAUGUGGGAAAUACCUAGGCUUAACCUAGGAAUGUCGGAUAAUACUGAUGAACUUGAGUAUAGUAGAGGGUAGUGGAAUUUCCGGUGUAGCGGUGAAAUGCGUAGAGAUCGGAAGGAACACCAGUGGCGAAGGCGGCUACCUGGACUAAUACUGACACUGAGGAACGAAAGCGUGGGGAGCAAACAGGAUUAGAUACCCUGGUAGUC